AACUCUGGAGGUGGAGGUUGCAGUGAGCUGAGAUCAUGCCACUGCACUCCAGCCUGGGUGACAGAGUGAGACUAUGUCUCAAAAAAAAAAAAAAAAGAAAGAAAGAAAAAUUUGAAGUAUAGAGGGGAAUCACAAAAAUUCUAAAUGGUAACUCAUGUCAGGAACCUGAAAGCCAAGUCUUCACUUCAGCAUUGGGAAGUAUAUGAAACUGUUUUCGGACCACACAACUCUGUGAGCUCAUCGCUAAGAAUUGGUAUGCAAGGUCUUCAGAAGGGUAGGCAAUUUGUAAACUCCUUUUGACUUAGCUGGUAAGACAGAAAGUUCUUUUUUCAUGGCUAAAUGAUACUUGAGAAAAGAAAAAAUGUGGUGAAGCUGAAUGUAUCUAGUUGAAAUAAAAAUGCCUACCUUUCUCCUGCGUAAGCAAAAUAUACUACUUACAAAAAAAAAAAGGAAUUUAUGAAUAGAAAUAGAAUCAGGUCACAGUGCAUUUCCUAAUUCUCCACUGGAUUUUAUUACUCAAGCACUGUAUUUUUACCUUUUAUCAUAGCUGUCAUUCGUCCUUGUACUUUAGAUAGCAGCUUAUCAACCCUUGUUAUAUCCUUAGCUUCUUUAGGGUGAUGAUCUUAUCUUUAUUUUUGACCACACUUCCUGUGCCUGCCCCUUUUCUUACAUCAAUUUCUGUUCCACUUGGGAUUUUGUACUCACAGAUGUGACAUGAAUAUUUAUGAGAUUAAAGUGAAUGGUCCAACAUCAAUUCAGAAAAAUUUUGAUCCAUUCGUCCAAAUUAUUUAAAAUAUUCCCUUUCCAAUUGAGGCAGCAAGGCCUCUAGCUUAGUGCUCAUUUUCCCUCUCUAAGCAUAUUCAUGCCAUUAGGGUAUUAAUUUCUUCUAAACUAAAGCUCUUAUCUCCUCAUAAUUCAUUAUGUCUGUUUUUGAUUCCCACUAUCAUUGUGGUCUCUCAACUUACUCCUGUUAACACAGUCAUUUUGGUGGCUUUUAUAAUACCUCCUCUGUUGUUCUUCAAAUUUUGCCUAAAUAGGCAAUAACUUAAAUGAAAAACUGUUCAUGAGUGAGCCAGUGAGCUCAGAAAUUUGGAACCCUUUUGCCAUGGAGGGUGAUGGUGAGCUUAGUGAUAACAAGAAUUUUCCAAUUAUGGCAUCUACCUUUCUAAUCAUCUCUCCUUCCAUGUGAUACUGUUUUUAUAUAGUUUGUUUUGCCUGCCUCCCUCCCUUCCCAUCUCUCUUCUUUCCUCCCUUCCUUCUCUCCUUUCCUUCCACUCUUCUUUCCUUUAUGGGAAAAACCAUUCUAAAUCCUUCAAGUUGUGGUUUGAGUUUAGAGUCUUUUAUUGAAAUUACAUGUUGGUAUGCUAGGAGUAUAUGAAAGCUUUUUUUCCAAUUUGCAAAAAAUGUUUAUAUGAUUUUAUUAUUUUUAUAUGAUUUUUGUAUUAAAAUCAUCCCAGAUAUCCCCAAAAUAGAAUGCAAAGUUUACAUUUUAAAUUUACGUUGAAAUUUUAAAUAAAUUUUCUUCUAAGUUGUCUUUGGAUUACAUAUCCAGACAGAUUGGAGGCAUCAAAAUACUUCCCACUCCUUUUUCAAUGUUUUUAGGGAUAUUGCUAUGACAUUUUUGAGAAGUAUUCGAAACAACUCUAUUAAGAUAAGCUCCUUUUCUUUAUUGUCUUCAUCUUAUAUCUCUGGCUGUCAAUGAAAUUCUAUCAUUUCCCACUCAAAGCCCAAUUGAUCUCUGGAAGGAGGUGGGGUGUGCCCUUGUAUGAGCUCUUAAGAAUUUAUUUAGCAUUUUUUUCUAGCUCUUCCAUCAGUGAAAUCAAGAUGGUAGCUGAAAUUUACCACGGUGGAGGAUAUUUACAGCACAGAAAUUGGCAAAGGCUACAAAUAAGUUUAAUUUUUUUUUUUUUAGAACUCGUUAAGUAUGUACCAGCACACCCUGUAAGGUUGAUUGAUGCUUGAUCUAGGUGUCUUCCGCAUGCUUUGUGUGUUACUCCUGUGGCUUUACCAGCUAUUAUGCAUUAGUCUCUGGGGAUAAGGGAAGUAAUAAACCUUUGUCCCAGGUCUCAUAAAUAGCUUGGUUAUUAAUCAAAUGAUCAUUUGGUCUGGCUUCCUUUGUUCGGUCCUAUGCUUGUAAGUAUGGAUGUGUUAGCUCUAGACAGAACCAUAGAUAAGGGAGCUAAAGCCCAGAGUGAUUAAUGACGUACAAGGUCACAAUUCUAGUUACAGGGAAAGAUGCUGGGACAAGAAUCCGGGUUUUCUGAGUCCCAGGUAGGUUUUGUUGCUGUUAUACAACUCUCUAAUAAUUUUUAAAAAAUCCUAAAUCAUAAAUAUUCCAUUGUAAUAGCUUCAGAAAGCAUUGCAAGCUACAGAUUUAGCUCUAAUACUAUUAAUCUUUGCUUUUUUUCUAAUCUAAAAACUAGGAUACAUUAAGAAAAGUAGAAAAUGUAAAAAUAUUGGUAAAAAACCAAAACUCCUAACAAAUUAAUAUAUAUAUGUUAAGAGAGACAUACGUUCAAACAAUUUACUAUCAUCUGUCAACUUUUAAAGGAAUGCCUUGAUCUAGCUCUUAUGACUUUCAAUCGAAGUGACACAAUUUUUCCAGUAAUUUUAACAGUUUCUCCCAGCUUACUUGUUAAAGAAAUUUGUAACAUCUUUAGCAAGAAACAGAAAGACAGAGGGCAGCAUGGGACCAGAGUGCAGCUGUCCUUCAGAAGAACCUGACUGUACAACUUGCACAUCUGAAGAGGUAGCCAAGAAAAUAGAGAAAAGAAUGGGAAGUGGAUCUACCCACAUCCUCUCCCAUCCCCUCCAGAAAGAAAUGCAGCAUCUCUUUCUCAUUGUUUAAGAAGAAAAGGGGGAUCUCGGAGACAAAGCCAAUGAAGGAUAAAUGAGUGCUCUGCCAGUUCAAAGUCAAUGUGAAGAUUGGAUGGGGAAGCGUGCGGAGCUCAGAAGCAUUUUUUUUUUCCAGAGCAAGAGAAAAUCCAGUGACUGAAAAAGAAUAAGAAGAAAAACACUGACCAAGGCAAUAAUUCCAAGAAGUCAAAAAUUAAGGCCUGAGAGGAAGAAGGCAGACUAAAGAAAGUAGGAAAGAUGCAAGGAGAAAGACAGCCAUCUGCAUACCAGGAAGAGGGCCCUCACCAGACACUGGAUCUGCUGCAGCCUUGAUCUUGGGCUUCCAACCUCUAGAACCAUGUGAAAUACAUUUCUGUUGUUUAAACCA
rnacentral:lncRNA from 1 species